rnacentral:lncRNA from 10 species
GCCAUGCCUGAGCCCCCACCCCCUCCCCGCCACCCCCAGCCCACUGCUGUGGACUCCUGCGCCGCCCGAGCCUCCUCGACGAGCACCGCCCCCUGCUCCAGGGCGCCCAGUCCCAUAGACCGCCCGAAGGCUGAGGACUGCUGGCGCAUGGCGCGGGACUGGCAGGCAGCUCCACCUGCGGCCCCUGUGCGGGAUCCACUGCGUGAAGCCAGCUGGGCUCCUGAGUAUGGUGGGGACUUGAAGUAUCUUUAUGUCUAGGUAAGGGAUUGUAAAUACACCAGUCAGCACUCUGUAUCUAGCUCAAGUUUUGUAAACACACCAAUCAGCACCCUGUGUCUAGCUCAGGGUUUGUGAAUGCACCAAUGGACACUGCAUCUAGCUAAUCUAGUGGGGAGGUGGAGAACUUUUGUGUCUAGCUCAGGGAUUGUAAAGCACCAAUCAGCACCCUGUUAAAACAGACCAAUCAGCUCUCUGUAAAAUGGACCAAUCAGCAGGAUGUGGGUGGGACCAGAUAAGAGAAUAAAAGCAGGCUGCCUGAGCUGGCGGUGGCAAUGCUUCCCUGUCUCCUUCUGUACUGUGGAAGCUUUGCUCUUUUACUCUGCAAUAAAUCUUGCUGCUGCUAACUGUUUGGGUCCACGCUACCUCUAUAAGCUGUAACACUCACCAUAAAGGUCUUACAGCUUCAUUCCUGAAGCCAGUGAGACCACGAACCCAGCAGGAGGAACGAACAACUCCAGACGCGCUGCCUUAAGAGCUGUUAACACUCACCGCAAGGUCUGCAGCUUCACUCCUGAAGCCAGAGAGACCACGAACCCAGCAGGAGGAAUGAACAACUCCAGAUGCGCCGCCUUAAGAGCUGUAACGCUCACCGCGAAGGUCUGCAGCCUCACUCCUGAGCCAGCGAGACCACGAACCCACCAGAAGGAAGAAACUCCGAACACAUCCGAACCUCGGAAGGAAGAAACUCCAAACACAUCCAAACAUCAGAAGGAACAAACUCUGCACACACCGCCUUUAAGAACUGUAACACUCACCACCAGGGUUCGCGGCUUCAUUCUUGAAGUCAGUGAGACCAAGAAGCCACCAAUUCCGGACACAAUAUGAAGGGGGAAUCUGGAAUAUUUCAAGAUAAGGUCCAAUUCUUCCAUUGUCUCGUAAUCCAAUGCAGAGAUGUGAAAUGUAAGAUCAUCUGAAGGAGAGCUUUGGUUCAAGUCAAAUGCAUGCCUCAACCUAGCAGAGCCAAAGAGAUACUUGUAUGAUGUAAGUCAGAUUAUGUCAUUCUUCUGCUCAAAACUCUCCAAUAAAUAGCUCACCAUUCCCUUCAGAGAAAAGCCAAAGGACUUAAAAUGGCCAACAAAGCCUAUGAUCUGCACCCCCCUCCUCCCUCUACCUCACUUCAUCUUUCUCCCUGACUCACUUGGUUUCAGUCCUACUUGCCUGAUAUGUUCCCUCAAUUACACUCCCAUUUCAGGACAUUUGCACUGACUGUUUCCUCUGCCUGGACCCCACUUGCUCCAGCUUUGCACAUGGCUACCUCCCUUACUUUCUUCAGGUGCUUGCUAAAAUACCGUCCUCUCAAUGAGGCCUACCCUGAGCACCCUAUUUAAAAUUGUAACCUGCCGUUCCCUCCCCCUACAAGCUUUCAAAUUUCGUCAUCUUUUUUUAGUUUUUGCUAUAACAAUUAAUCACUUUCUAAUAUACUAAUUCUAAUAAGAAUUUACUUAUUUAUAUAUUUAUUGCUUAACGUCUAUAUCUGUCUGUGAGAAUAUAAGGCCCAUGAAGUCAGGGAUCUUUUUCUGUUCUUAACAUUGUUGUAUUCCAAAUGGGAGACUGUUGCUUGGCUCAUGGUAAUCACUCAGUUAAUAGCUGUCACAUUAAUUAAUCCUUGCCAUCUCUUCUGUGCUGGAAUUUGUCCAUGAUAGAAGCCUCCUGAUCUGCCAGACCAGUGUUGUCCUAAUAUUUUAUUCAGUCCAGAAUCUGUAAUGUUUUUAUUGCCAAUAAAGCAUGUGAAAGGAAAAUAAAUCUUGGGUCCCC